rnacentral:tRNA from 1 species
GCAGUCGUGGCCGAGUGGUUAAGGCGAUGGAGUAGAAAUCCAUUGGGGUCUCCCCGCAAAGUUCAAAUCCUGUCGACUGCC